AAGCAUAUCAAUAAGCGGAGGAAAAGAAACCAACAGGGAUUGCCCUAGUAACGGCGAGUGAAGCGGCAACAGCUCAAAUUUGAAAUCUGGCUCUCGGGCCCGAGUUGUAAUUUGUAGAGGAUGCUUUUGGUGCGGUGCCUUCCGAGUUCCCUGGAACGGGACGCCAUAGAGGGUGAGAGCCCCGUCUGGUUGGAUGCCAAUCCUCUGUAAAGCUCCUUCGACGAGUCGAGUAGUUUGGGAAUGCUGCUCUAAAUGGGAGGUAUAUGUCUUCUAAAGCUAAAUACCGGCCAGAGACCGAUAGCGCACAAGUAGAGUGAUCGAAAGAUGAAAAGCACUUUGAAAAGAGAGUUAAAAAGUACGUGAAAUUGUUGAAAGGGAAGCGUUUAUGACCAGACUUGGGCUUGGUUAAUCAUCCAGGGUUCUCCCUGGUGCACUUUUCCAGUCCAGGCCAGCAUCAGUUUGCUUCGGGGGAUAAAGGCUUCGGGAAUGUGGCUCCUCUCGGGGAGUGUUAUAGCCCGUUGCGUAAUACCCUGAGGCGGACUGAGGUACGCGCUUCUGCAAGGAUGCUGGCGUAAUGGUCAUCAACGACCCGUCUUGAAACACGGACCAAGGAGUCGUCUUCGUAUGCGAGUGUUCGGGUGUCAAACCCCUACGCGUAAUGAAAGUGAACGCAGGUGAGAGCUUUCGGCGCAUCAUCGACCGAUCCUGAUGUUCUCGGAUGGAUUUGAGUAAGAGCAUACGGGGCCGGACCCGAAAGAAGGUGAACUAUGCUUGUAUAGGGUGAAGCCAGAGGAAACUCUGGUGGAGGCUCGCAGCGGUUCUGACGUGCAAAUCGAUCGUCAAAUAUGAGCAUGGGGGCGAAAGACUAAUAUAACCUUCUAGUAGCUGGGUUUCCGCC
rnacentral:rRNA from 1 species